UACGUAGGGUGCGAGCGUUGUCCGGAAUUAUUGGGCGUAAAGGGCUCGUAGGCGGUUUGUCGCGUCGGGAGUGAAAACCUUGGGCUUAACUCAGGGCUUGCUUUCGAUACGGGCAGACUAGAGGUAUGCAGGGGAGAACGGAAUUCCUGGUGUAGCGGUGGAAUGCGCAGAUAUCAGGAGGAACACCGGUGGCGAAGGCGGUUCUCUGGGCAUGAUCUGACGCUGAGGAGCGAAAGUGUGGGGAGCGAACAGG
rnacentral:rRNA from 1 species